UACGGAGGAGGCAAGCGUUAUCCGGAAUUAUUGGGCGUAAAGCGUCCGUAGAUGGUUUUGUCAGUCUGCUGUCAAAGCACAGGGCUUAACCCUGUAAAGGCAGUGGAAACUACAAGACUAGAGUGCAGUAGGGGCAGAGGGAAUUCCCAGUGUAGUGGUGAAAUGCGUAGAGAUUGGGAAGAACAUCCGUGGCGAAAGCGCUCUGCUGGACUGCAACUGACAUUGAGGGACGAAAGCUAGGGGAGCGAAUGGG
rnacentral:rRNA from 1 species